AUACGAAGGGGGCAAGCGUUGUUCGGAAUAACUGGGCGUAAAGCGCACGUAGGCGGAUUGUUUAGUUAGAGGUGAAAUCCCAGGGCUCAACCCUGGAACUGCCUUUAAUACUGGCAGUCUAGAGACCGAGAGAGGUGAGUGGAAUUCCGAGUGUAGAGGUGAAAUUCGUAGAUAUUAGGAGGAACACCAGUGGCGAAGGCGGCUCACUGGCCCGGUACUGACGCUGAGGUGCGAAAGCGUGGGGAGCAAACAGGAUUAGAAACCCUAGUAGUCC
rnacentral:rRNA from 1 species